rnacentral:rRNA from 1 species
UACGUAGGGUGCAAGCGUUAAUCGGAAUUACUGGGCGUAAAGCGUGCGCAGGCGGUUAUGUAAGACAGUUGUGAAAUCCCCGGGCUCAACCUGGGAACUGCAUCUGUGACUGCAUAGCUAGAGUACGGUAGGAGGGGGAUGGAAUUCCGCGUGUAGCAGUGAAAUGCGUAGAUAUGCGGAGGAACACCGAUGGCGAAGGCAAUCCCCUGGACCUGUACUGACGCUCAUGCACGAAAGCGUGGGGAGCAAACAGG